rnacentral:rRNA from 1 species
AAAUGAAUUGACGGGGGCCCGCACAAGCAGCGGAGCAUGUGGUUUAAUUCGAAGCAACGCGAAGAACCUUACCAGGACUUGACAUCGCUUGAAAAGCCUAGAGAUAGGAAGUUCUCUUCGGAGACAAGUAGACAGGUGGUGCAUGGUUGUCGUCAGCUCGUGUCGUGAGAUGUUGGGUUAAGUCCCGCAACGAGCGCAACCCUUAUAUUUAGUUGCCAGCAUAGAAGGUGGGCACUCUAAAUAGACAGCCGGCAAGAAGUCGGAGGAAGGUGGGGAUGACGUCAAAUCAUCAUGCCCCUUAUGUCCUGGGCUACACACGUGCUACAAUGGUCUGUACAAAGGGAAGCAAUUCCGCAAGGAGGAGCGAAUCCCAAAAAGCAGAUCCCAGUUCGGAUUGCAGGCUGCAACUCGCCUGCAUGAAGACGGAGUUGCUAGUAAUCGCGGAUCAGAAUGCCGCGGUGAAUGCGUUCCCGGGCCUUGUACACACCGCCCGU